rnacentral:lncRNA from 1 species
UUUAGGAUAACACCCCAGAACCACUGAUCUUAAUAUUCUAUGUGGGGGACAUCACUUUUGAAAUACCUUUUUUUGAUUUCCAUUUUACUAUCUUUUCAGUUGACUCUGGUAUUUUAUACCAUUAGGUUUGUGAACCCUGAGGUGGGACUUCAUUUGUAGAGACUGCAGUUUCUAGCGCUGCCCUAGAUCCAUGGUUGAGAUCAUACUGGAUAAUUAAGCCCUUAAAACUUUCUGGGUUAUCAUCUGCUUAGAUCCAUUAGUACGUGCUGAGUUCCCAUCUUUCAGCAACAGCCACUGUUGCCAUGAGGAAGUUUUUUAUACUCUGAGCUAUGAUGGCCAAGGCCUGGGAACAUAGGCAAUCGAGCUCUUGAAGGGGCAAUGUCUCUGAUUGAUCAAGAAAUAAAAUUCUAACUGAGCAAAUUGCAUUUGACUUUUAAAAUUAAAUUUCAGA